rnacentral:lncRNA from 1 species
AUGGCCUCCAGACCUUGGGAACCGCUUCCUCCUUCCAGGUCUCCCGGGAUGGGCGUUUUGGGCCUAGAGGGCAUCCCCUCAGGCCUUAGUAGCUGGAUUCUUGCCGAACCCUCUCCACAGGAGGUAAGGGCUCUCCAGCAGCUCGCGGAGCGCCUCCCAACGCCUCUGGUUUUCUCCCCACCUCCACUGAUGAGCGAUUCACCGCAGAGCGGCCGCCUUUUUGUCGGCACGUCCGCUGUGGAGCAGGAUCUGCCGGCUGCCCUCUCGGGCCGAGUUUCAAUGGCGGCAGCGCCUUCAGCUGCCCCCAACGCAGCUGCAGGCUUUGGGCCACGCCAUUUUGACAACCCAGCCUGCGCACCGGCCCGGACAGCAACGGCCGCACCGUUUAGCCCACACGCAGCUGCAGACACUACAGACACUGCACCAUCCCCCAGCUCCCCCCUGGCAGUUCGUGAGUGCGCGCGUGCAGACAGCACGCCUUUAAACCUUGGUGGCUUGGAAGUUGCCCAACCAGCUCCUGCGGCUCUGCCCAGCAGUCUGGCCUUNGAGCAAGGACCACGGCUCUGUCGGGAGGCCUCUAGUGAUCUCUCAGCCUCACCUCCUGAUCCAGCUACAGCACAGGUAGGCCUCUCUUCUAUGGAGUCGCCCANCGUUCAUCCUGUUGUUGGGCCUAGCAUUUGUGCAAUGGAAGAUCCGCCCCUGGCUCCUCCUGCUGGGGCCCCGGCUGAGCAGGCCUCUGUUCUCUUUCAGCCCUCUAGCCUCCUAGCCUCAGGGGUCCCUUCCCUUUCUCCAGCUGCCUCCGUAGUCGAUGUGGUGCGCACAGUUCUUCAACAAGAACGUUUAGAUAGAGGAGGAGACGGCGAUCGCGUUCCUCUUCCUCCUCAUCCUCUUCCAGUCGGGGCCACAGUAGANGGAAGAGGCGACGCCAUUCUCGUAGCUCUCAUCGUUCCAGAAGUAAAUCCACCAGGUUCUCAGUCUCGGCUGUUACUGCACAUUCCAAGACACCUGGACAGGGCCCUGCCAACCCUGUUGGGCAGCCCUCUGUUGAACAAGCUGAACUGUCUCUGCAGGAAACUGGGCAUGGAGGGGGUCUUUCCCGUUCCUUUCCCGCUUCUGAAGGGGGUGAACUUCAGAAAGUCUCUAUUCACUCUGGCUCCAAGGGUAAGAUGGAGGUGUCCAAGGGUGGUCAAUCGGGCCUCCCUACCCCUCGCCUCUUCACGGCAGAGAAUUUUUUGCCUAUGCUAG